UGGGAGUGGCACCUGCCCUGUUCUACUCUGGUUACUAGGGAAGUAACAGACUCCUUGGAAAAAACAACGUUGAGAUGGAGAGGGAAAGGGUGAAACUGGGAAAUGCUAAAUCUGAAUUCAGAGUAUCUGGCCUCAUCAUUCAGCUCACAGGUAUUUUAAGGAAUAAAGGAAGUUGACGGGUGGAAAUCUGAAGGUGAAUUAAAUAAUUGGAAGUUAUGAUGAAUUGCCAUUCCAUCUGUGUAUUGCCUUUAAUCUCUGGCCACUGCAGCAGAUCUGACCCAAUUUAGCUGUUACUAUAUCCUUUCUGCAAAAAAAAUGAAUCUCAGAGAAAGCCAGGGCUGUUGCAUGACUUCCAUAACUCGCCGCAUGUUUGCCUGCCAUUUCCCAGCUCAUGAGCAUCUAUGGAGCCAAGUUUUAUCCAGGCCCUUUCAGUAACUAGUUUGGGUUGGAUUUCUGGGUUCUUUUAUCUAUGGCUUUCAUCAUCUGGCAAAAGAAGCUGACUCAGUGUUAGUUGCAACAAGUGGUUGCCUAUUUAGUGUGAUAUGCACGUGCUACCAAAGAGUUCUCGGUUGGGUUCCACAAUGGCUAUUUCCAUUGCAUCAAGCCUUACAGCUCCAGAAGGCAUCUCACAGCUAAAACAUACAGAUCACCCAGGAGAGAAGAAAGGUUGGUGUGAUUUGCAUAUUUGUAUCCAUUAAUCAACAUGUUGGCACAAAUUGGUUACCAGAGUAGCUGGCUGUAUUCUUGGAAAUCUGGAAACCAAGCCUGGAGGGGAAAGAACAGAACGCAAGGCUUCAGUGGUUAGAUAAGGGCAGACAGCGAGGAAAGCUUUUGGGUUUUCAAGUCCAGUCCUGGGUGAGUCUGCUGUGGGACACAUGGAGGAACCAGUAUCAGCAUCAGGGAACUGAUUUGUGGAGGAUAGGACCCUAAAGACACCAAGGUGUCUAAUGAUGGGUAGGAAUAUGGAUGAAUGUUCCUUUCUUCUUUGUACUUUUCAAAUUCUUUAAAUAUAUGUGAUGUGACAAAUGUCAUGAGAAAAAUAUUAACCAUACAGGAAUUUUAAAGGUCGAAAUUCUAUGAUUCCAUGCCUGACAUUUCAUGGUUGAAAGGAGCAACUAAGUGAUCAUUACAAGUAUGGUUACAGCCCAUGUAGGGUUUGAUGCCUUCUUCAUGGUUUUCUUGUUACAGUCACUUUAUUUUAUUGCCUCUCUGACUUAUUGUGUAUGUCCAUCAUCCCACUUUUCACCCCUAAGAUCCCACUUUAGCAUGACUCCUUCACUCUACCUUCUCUAGUGGCAUUCAUGGUACAAUUGUGGCUAUUUAAUUAAAAGACUAUUCACAGAACAUUUCUUUUUCCAAGGAGAAAAUGCCUAUGUCUAUUAAUGGAAGCCAAUCCUUAACCAAAUGUUAGUGGUUCAAUGCAGUUAGGACCCUCAAGUCAGAAAUUUAUAGGUAACUGAUUUAGUUCCUCAGUAUCUUUUUGCUCUGUAUAGACACAAGUUGUCUGAACCACCUUGAUCCAAUAAUUCUGGGAAUAAAUAAAUUUGAUCAGACUUGACUAGUGUAGCUGUCUACAUAGAUCCAAGGCUCCUUUUUCCUUUCAGCAGCUGUUGCCUGAGGCUGAGUUUCUGACUGGCGGUGGUUUGGUCAACCAUGUCAUUUCAGCCAGCUUCAAGCUGAAUUCAGGUAGCACAAGCCAAAAUGAUCAAUUAAGUCAGGAUACCCAAGACAUGAACUAGACUUUCAGCUUGGACACCAUAAAUCUAGACUUCUCAGGUCCUUAGUUAUGUCAUCUAGAAAAUGAGGAUAAAGGUUUUAGCCUAGUUAGUUAACUCAAGCUACUAUCAGGAUAAAAUUAGGUUGUAAAUAUUGCAAUCCUCUGAAAGUUAAAGUGCUGUAUACAUGAGCAGCACUUUCAUUAACAGACUGACCACUGCAUAAUCCAAUUAGCUCAGUCAAGAUUUAACCAGGCCUCAGAAGGAGAGAGCGUGUUACUGUGUGAGAACAGCCUGCUUAAGGGCCAUCCCUGGCGUCCAAUUUGCC